GGGAUGACCUCCACCAUGGCCUGGGCCCCUCUCCUCCUCACCCUCCUGGCUCACUGCACAGGAUCCUGGGCCCAGUCUGUGCUGACUCAGCCAUCCUCAGUGUCGGGGUCCCCGGGCGAGAGGGUCACCAUCUCCUGCACUGGAAGCAGCUCCAACAUUGGGGGUGGUUCCUAUGUGUACUGGUACCAGCAGCUCCCAGGAAAGGCCCCCAAACUCAUCAUCUAUGAUAAUAGCAACCGACCCUCAGGGGUCCCUGAUCGAUUCUCUGGCUCCAAGUCUGGCAACUCAGGCAUCCUGACCAUCACGGGGCUGCAGGCUGAGGACGAGGCUGACUAUUACUGCUCAGCAGCCGACAGCAGUAUCUAUAGUUCCACAGUGCUGCAGGCCUGGUCCCCCCCUGACCUCAUCCAACCCGAAUUUCCGCCCAAAGACCCCUUCCCCAAAGACCACCAUGUCGGUGCCAAGGGCCGCAGCCUGUGGAUUUUGCACUUGCUGUUCCUCUGCCGGGAGCACCCGUUCCCAGGCACCUUCCCCGCUAGUGCCCUGGCGGCUCCCAGGAUGGCCUCUGUGACCACCAUCUAA